rnacentral:rRNA from 1 species
GACGAACGCUGGCGGCGUGCUUAACACAUGCAAGUCGAACGAUGAAGAAGAGAAACGCGACCUUCGGUUCAAAUUUCACUUCGGAUUAGUGGCAGACGGGUGAGUAACGCGUGAUCAACCUACCUCUUACAAAGGGAUAGCCUCGGGUAACCGAGAUUACUACCAUAUGACACCUUCAUAAGGCCUCUUAUGAAUGUUAAAGCUACGCCGGUAUGGGAUGGGCUCGCGUCCGAUUUGCUAGUUGGUGAGGUAACGGCCCACCAAGGCGACGAUGGGUAACCGGGAAGAGAGACUGAGCGGUCACAUUGGAGCUAGGACACAGUGCAGAAUCCUAGGGGAGGCGGCAAUGGGGAAUACAGCAAAAUGGAGGGAGCGAUGAUGCAGCGCGGCCGCGUGAGCGAUUAAGGUAUUAAUGACGAAAAGCACUGUAAUAUGGGGAGAAAAGGACGGUACCAAAAGAAAAAGCCCCGGCUAAAUACGUG